UACAGAGGGUGCAAGCGUUAUCCGGAUUCACUGGGUUUAAAGGGUGCGUAGGCGGACAGGUAAGUCAGUGGUGAAAUCUCCGAGCUUAACUCGGAAACUGCCGUUGAUACUAUUUGUCUUGAAUAUUGUGGAGGUAAGCGGAAUAUGUCAUGUAGCGGUGAAAUGCUUAGAUAUGACAUAGAACACCAAUUGCGAAGGCAGCUUACUACACAACGAUUGACGCUGAGGCACGAAAGCGUGGGGAUCAAACAGG
rnacentral:rRNA from 1 species